GCGAAGGUAAGUUUCUCGCUCCUCUUUCUUCCCUGUUUUUUUUAAAAGUUCUAAAGAAGGCAGGACAUAUGCGAAAAAAAUAUUGAAGACGAUGAAGAUUCAAAAAUCACCUUCUUUGCUUUGUAUUGUUUUUGAUUCUCUUUUUCGUAUUUGUUUUUGUUGCCUUUGUCCGUAACCAUUACAAAGAUUGAAUCGUUGGCUUUAUAGCCGGAAAGAAAAGAAAAUAAAAAGGAAAUAAAAAUAAGAAAUACAAUUGUUUGUUUGUUUCUGUUGCUGUUGUCUCUUUUGUAUUUGCAGGUACGGGGUGGUGUUUGCGUGUGUACGAGAGCGUGGGCGUGGCGCCAAGAUGCUGGGGCGUACGGAGGCAUGGAGCUACUGUCCGGUUGCUGUUGCGGCGCAGGAGAAAGGGAGUGAUUUAGGGUUUGUCUUGGCUUAACAUUCUGGGCCUAUUGGGCCUUGUGAAUUUGGGUUUGUAAUAUUUUGGGUUUAAAAUUAGGUUAUGUAACUUGGACUAAUGGACUUUUAUUGGACUGUUAAUGUAUUUUUUGUUUAUUAUUUUUUGGUUUUGUAUUUAUACGGGCCCGGGCUAAAUUGGCCCAUUACAACUGCCCCUCUUUGCUCAUUGUCGUGUAACGAGAACAGAGCAAAGACUUCGACGAGGGUCAAUUUUGCCCGGUUUUGCGGAAUCAUGACUUUUUUGGUGCUUCUUUUCUUCGAGUGACUUUGACCUGCUCCAUUGGAGACGAGAUCUGCAAUCUUCGGCCUACUCCACUACAACAUUAGGGAGCUAGGAUGGUAGCUUAAAUCUGCUUCACUGUAACUUCAGGAAGCCAAGGUUCGUCAUCUUCGAUUUGCUCUCUGUCAAUCACAGAGACGCCAAAUCCGUCAUCUUCGAUCUGCUCUCUGCCAAUAAAGAGACGCCAAAUCUGCUAUCUUUGAUCUGCUCUUCGCCAAUACAGAGAUGCCAAAUCUGCUAUCUUUGAUCUGCUCUUCGCCAAUACAGAGAUGCCAAAUCUGCUAUCUUUGAUCUGCUCUCUGCCAAUAUAGAGACGCCAAAUCUGCUAUCUUUGAUCUGCUCUCUGCCAAUACAGAGACGCCAGAUUUGCUAUAUUCGAUCUGCUCUCUGCCAAUACAGAGACGCCGAAUCUGCUAUCUUCGAUCUGCUCUCUGCCAAUACAGAGACGCCAAAUCUACUAUCUUCGAUCUGCCCUCUGCCAAUAUAGAGAUGCCAAAUCUGCUAUCUUCGAUCUGUUCCCCGCUAAUACAGAGAUGUCAAAUCUGCUAUCUUCGAUCUGCCCUCUGCCAGUUUAAUGCUUUAUUAGAUAUAAUCCUCUUCGGUAUUCCAUAUCGACAUAUGAUCUCUUUUUUCAGAAACUUGCUCACUGCUGACUUUGUCAGACUAGCAUACGAAGCGGCUUCUACCCAUUUGGUGAAAUAGUCGAUAACCACAAAGAUGAAACGAUGCCCAUUGAAAGCUUUCGGCGAUAUUGGUCCAAUCACAUCUAUGCCCCACAUAGAGAAUGACCAUGGAGAAACCAUGACAUGCAGCGGUGAAGGAGGCACAUGAAUUUUAUCACUGUAGAUUUAACACUUAUGACAUCUCUUAGCGUAAUUGACACAGUCUCCUUCCAUGGUGGACCAAUAGUACCCGAAUCUCAUAAUUUUCCUGGCCAUUGUAAAGCCAUUAGCGUGUGUCCCACAGACACCUUCAUGGACUUCUUCCAAGAUUUUCCUAGCCUUUACAGCGUCUACACAUCUUAGUAGCACUUGAUCAUUUCUUCUUUUGUAUAAUAUAUCCCCAUCUAAGACAUAGUUGAUGACCAGUCUUCUUAGCGUUCUUUUGUCAUUCUCGUUUGCUUGGUCUGGGUACUCACGAUUCUUCACGUACUGCAAUAUAUCGUGAUACCAAGGGUGAUUAUCUUUCUAUUCGUCUUCUUCAAUAUUGUAUCAGUGAGCCGGAACCUCAUAAAUGCUCAUCCGGAUGGGUUUGACAUCUUCUUGUUUGUUCACCUUGAUCAUGGAGGCUAAGGUAGCCAAAGCAUCAGCCAUCUGAUUUUCGUCUCGUGGAAGGUAAUGGAAGGUAAUGUCAUCAAACUCUUUAACCAAUUCAAGGACCACUUUCCGAUAAUCGAUUAACUUGGGGUCUCUGGUCUCCCAUUCUCCUUUGAGUUGAUAAAUUACUAGUGCAGAAUCCCCAAAGACCUCUAGCACUUUAAUCUUGUGAUCUAUGGCUGCGCGGAUACCCAUGAUGCAUGCCUCGUAUUCCAUCAUGUUAUUCGUACAAUAAAAAUCCAAUUUACCAGUGAAUGGAUAAUGAUCUCCGUUUGGGGAUACUAAGACGGCCCCAAUUCCAUUUCCCACAACAUUUGACGCCCUAUCGAAGUUCAAUUUCCAAGGAAGUUCUUCCAAAGUGCCUUCUUCAGUGGUAGCAACACACAUUAGGUCUUCAUUCGGGAAGUCAAAGUUUAAAGGCUCGUAGUUUUCCAAAGCUCUACUGGCCAGAAAAUCUGCUAUUGCACUUCCUUUUACUGCUUUCUGGUUCACAUAGACUAUGUCGAAUUCAGAAAGCAGAAUCUGCCAUCGGGCCAUCCUUCCAUUCAAGGCUGUUGACUCCAUCAUGUACUUCAAGGGGUCUAAUUUUGAGAUGAGCCAAGUGGUGUGAUAUAACAUAUACUGCCUCAGCCUCCGGGUUGUCCAAAUUAAGGCACAACACAAUUUCUCUAUUGGCGGGUACCUUGUCUCACAUUCUGUGAACUUCUUACUAAGAUAGUAAAUGGCUUUCUCUUUCCUUCCUGACUCAUCAUGCUGACCCAAUACGCAUCCCAUGGAGUUCUCGAAUACUGCCAAAUACAGUAUCAACGGCUUAUUAGAGUUAGGUGGCAUCAACACCGAGGCAUUGGAUAAGUACUGUUUGACCUGGUUGAAAGCCCUUUGGCAUUCUUCAUCCCAUUCACCUGGGUUAUGUUUCUUGAGGAGGCGAAAGACAGGGUCACAUUUCUCGGUCAGUUGUGAAAUGAACCGAGCAAUGUAAUUUAAUCUUCCUAAAAAGUCUCAAACUUCUUUCUGAGUGCGCAGCGGGGAUAGCUCUUGUAUGACUUUAACUUUGUCUGGAUCGAUCUCAAUCCCUUUCUCACUAACCACGAAUUCGAGCAACUUUCCAGACUUGGCUCUGAAGACAUUUGGCUGGGUUGGGUUUUAACUGGAACUUCCUCAACCUUAAGAACAAUUUCCUCAAGACUUGUAUGUGCUCCUUCUCUGUUCGAGAAUUUGCGAUCAUGUCAUCGACAUAAACCUCGAUUUCUUUAUGCAUCAUGUCAUGAAAAUGGGUUACCAUGGCUCUUUGAUAAGUUACCCCCGCAUUCUUCAGUCCAAAUGGUAUCACCUUGUAGCAGAACGUGCCCCACAUGGUUACAAAUGUGGUUUUCUCCAUAUCUUCAAGAUGCAUCUUGAUCUAGUUAUAUCCGAAAAAACCGUCCAUGAAUGAAAACAGUGAGUGUCCUGCUGUGUUGUCCACUAGGGUGUCGAUAUGAGCCAGUGGGAAAUUAUCUUUCGGGCUGGCUUUAUUCAAAUCUCUGUAACCCACAUACAUUCGCACCUUUUCAUCUUUCUUGGGGAUGGGGACGAUGUUGGCUACCCAAUCUGAGUAUUUUACCACCUUCAGGAAUCCGGCAUCGAACUGCUUUUGAACCUCUUCUUUUAUUUUUAGCAAAACAUCGGGCCUCAUUCUUCGGAGUUUUUGCUGAACUGGCUUACAUUCUUCCUUUAUGGGAAGUCGAUGUACCACGAUGUCAGUGUCCAACCCGGGCAUAUCUUGGUAUGACCAUGCGAAGACGUCUUUGAAUUCUUGAAGUAAUUCAAUGAGGUCUCGCUUCAUCUCCAUAGUGAUACAUGUUCCGAUCUUCACCUUUUGUCCUUCUCCUAAGUUCACAAUUUCAACUGAUUCUUUGUAUGGUAAGAUUUGUUUCUCGUCUUGUUCUACCAUCCUCAACAAAUCAGGAGAUAGAUUACAGCCUUGGUCAUCUUCAAAUCCUAAGAAUCAUCCAUACAUACAUCUCGCUCGAAAGGAAAUUCUGAGUCGCUAGCAGUGUCACUCAUAUCAUUAAUAUCUGGGGACUGUUAUGAGGAUGAAUGCAGACACAAAGAAACAAAAGAAUUCGAAACAUUUAUUUACGUGGUAUGAUUAUGAAUGACGAAUGAAAGAAUAUUUAGAAGAAUGUUUCAAGAAUAAAAGAAUCGAAAAGUAAUCAUUUGUAUGGUUAUGAAAUUGAGAGGACGAGAGAACAUUUGCUCAAAAAUGAUAAUAACUGUGCAUUUUAUUGAAAUAUCGUUUUUAAACAUUAGCCUAUUUCACAAAAGAUUCUUAUUACUCCUAGGCCUAGAGCAAUAAGUGUGUUUUAGACAUUACUCUGAAUCCGUUCUAAAAACUACAGGAAUCUCUUCCGCAGUCCAGUUGUCCAGAACACUUCCAGGCGUGCAGAGGAAAUGCCCGACAAAUUCUCUCUUCUGGUCUCCUCUUUGCAUAUGACGUUGAUGUCCAAGCUUUCCAGCCUCUCUUCUAUAGCUCCCGUCAUUGGUGUGUCUCUCUCGGGAUGAAUGAUUCCCCCAGACACAAAUGUUUUUGAUAUAUGGGGGAAUGUCAUCGGUUUCCACUUGAUUUCCUCCCCCGUUAAUCGUACUCUCCUUCUUUCUUGCUUCCUUUCCAGCUCCCUUCUCCGUUGUUUGACAUCCGGCUUAAAUCCUAAGCCGAAGCGGUCUCUCUUGUCUUUCAACAUUGGCGUCUCAAUCCUUCCUUGUAGAUGUCUCCCGAGUCCCCUUCCGGGUAAGGCCCCUUUUCCAAUCGUCAACUAGAGGCUCAUCCUCGUGGUUUUGGACAAUUCCGGUGCCAGAAUUUUGCUCCCCUCGGCGAUGAAUGUCGCAUUAACAAAUUCCAAAGAUCGAAAUGAGAAUUCGAUUGCUUGGUCAUCUGUCUCCAAAUAGGGUGCAUUAUUGCUCACAGUUGCAAUAAUAUCCUCCUCAGCCUUGAUCGUUAUCAACCUCCCCUCCGAUACUAGCUUCAACUUUUGAUGCAACGAGGAAGGCACUGCCCCAGCUGAAUGUAUCCAGGGCCUCUCCAACAAGUAAUUGAAUGAGGGGUUGAUGUCCAUUACGAGGAAAUCCACCUCAUAUGUGUUUGGCCCAAUCUGAGGGGGUACCUCGAUUCUGCCCAUCACCUUCCUCUCUGUGCCAUCAAAUGCUUUCACGAUGUUCUGGCACUCCUUCAUGUGAAAGCUGUCUAUAGGUAACCUAUUUAACGUGGUCAAUGGUAGAACAUUCAAAGCCGACCCAUUGUCAAUCAAUACACCUGGCAGCGUAUACCCUUUACAGCGUGUGGUGAUAUGCAGAGCUUUAGUCAACCCCAUGCCCCCGGGUGGUAUCUCGUCAUCAUUAAAAAAGAUAUAAUUGUCCGCAUUUAUGUUGUUAACCAAGCGGUCCAACUUGUUAACGGAGAUAUCAUUGGGAGCAUAUGUUUCAUUCAAGACCUUCAUUAGUGCGCUAUGAUGAACUUUCGAGCUUAAAAGUAAGGCCAGCACCGAGAUACGGGCUGGUUGUUUACGUAGUUGUUCUACCACACUAUAUUUGCUAUACUUUAGGAAUUUUAAAAACUCCUUGGCCUCCUCUUCGUUAACUGGCUCGUUAACAGGCUUGGUUGCUUUUUCUUUCAUUUCCUCGGCCAUUGGGGCUUUUCCUUUUACGGGUUGUACCUCUUCGUUUGCUGCAUUGUAACGUCUCCCGCUACGUGUAUAGGAGCCCUUGUCUUGACCCUUUUUUGAAGCAUCCACGAGGCUCUUCUUCCUUGGAAUCAUCACGCUACAAUCAUAAUUCCAUGAGACCUUUUUGCUGUCUUUAUAGGGGAAGACUGUAGGUCUUUGGAUUAUGACCCUUGGUGGCAUUUGUACUCCGGUUUCGUUAUUUUUGGGUCUCGAUAUGAUAACUAUGGGAUAGUUAGCUAUUUGAUUUUGUGCCGUCGAUUCUCCUUCUGAUGCGCAUAUAUCUCCCUCUACGGGAUCUUAUAUCUCUUCAUAAAACUCUAUUUCCUUAUUAUCCAUCAUAUUUUGUACUAGGACCCUGAACUCUAUACAAUCUUGGAUUUCAUGCCCCACUUUGUUGUGAAACUCACAGUAGUUUCUCUCUUCUUCGGAUUCUUCUCUUGAAUCCAACGCGAUCAAUCCUCUCUUGGCCAUCUCCUUCCAUACUCGCCUCAACGGGCUCCUAACUUUUGCCACCUUAUAUUUGGUCUUCUUAUUCUUACCUUCACUUAUCCCAUUCACUUCUUGGUCGAUAUGAUUGGGGAGUGGGUUUCCUGAUACAUUGGGUGUGGCUGGGUCGUCAAAUCUUACGAUCCCCAUCUUAAUGAGUCUUUCGACUAAUUUCUUAAACGCAGCGCAGUUUUCGAUAGAGUGCCCGGUGACUCUUGCGUAGUAUUCACAUUGGGCGUUUGUGUCAUACCAUUUGGGAUACGGAGGCUGCAGUGGCUUCAGGUAGAAAGGGGAUACCACAUGAGCGUUGAACAGGUUCUGGUACAACUCCCUAUAUGUCAUGGGUAUAAGGGUGAAUUGAGGUCUUUCUGUGUUCUCCCUUGCAUUGGAUUCUUGUCUUACAGAACUUUGCUAACUGGUGGUCACUGUCUUGGGUUGAUUUAUGGUGAAUGACUUGGACUGACCUUUGUUAGAUGUGCUCAUGUUGUUCACUUCAUUGUCUCUUUUCCUCGGGGCCGACUUCCUGGUACUUUCUCCGGCUUCUAUCUUACCACUUUUCACGAUAUUUUCGAUCAUUUCCCCUAUCAUCACUAUGUCGGAGAAGCUCUUAGUGGCGCUUCCCAACAUAUGAGUGAUAAAAGGGGCUUUCAAAGUGUUAAUAAAGAGCAUUGUCGUCUCUUUUUCUAGAAGUGGCGGCUGAACUUGUAUCGCCACUUCUCUCCACCUUUGUGCGUACUGUCUGAAGCUUUCAUUUAACUUUUUCUCCAUAUUCUGGAGAGUGAUUCUGUCGGGGUCAUGUCUGUCACAUGACUGUAUUGCUUCAUAAAGGCCUGAGCCAGGUCCUUUCAUGAGUUAAAUUUAGCUCGGCUUAAUUGGUUAUACCACUUAGAUGCCACCCCGACCAGACUAUCUUGAAAGUAAUGGAUUAAUAGCUGGUCGUUGUUAACAUAUCCCGUCAUUCGCCUGCAGAAUAUAGUGAUGUGGGCUUCAGGGCAGCUCGUUCCAUUGUAUUUCUCGAAUUCGGGCAUUUUGAAUUUGGGGGGAAGGACUAAAUCUGGGACCAAACUCAUGUCCUUGGCAUCAAUCCCUUGAUGAUGAUCCGCGCUCUCCAUGGCUUUGAAUUUCUCUUCAAGCCAUCUACAUCGUUCUUCCAAUUGUUUUUGCGAAUCCAUCCUCACCUUUUCUUCUUCAGCAAUUUCAUCCAAGUCGGGAAGAGGCGGAUAGUUCGGGUUGUUGACAAAGUUAGAGCCUGAGCUGGUUUGGAAAUUCAUCGGUAUUGAAGCUCCGGCCUGAAUCUGCUGGGGCAGGAUCGUGACAGAUGGUUUUGGUAGAUUAAUCUCGGGCUUCAUCGGGACAUGUGUCGGAGUGAAGUUAGGGGGUAUUGAGGAUCCUUAUUAGCUUCUUCAACUUUGUCCAUGGGGCCCUUUCCUUUAUCCGUUCCUCUCAGUAGCAAUUUGGAUAAUUGGGACAUCAUUUCUCUCUAGGACUCCAUCAUUUGCUCCUUCAUUUCUCGUUGAAUCUUGGCUAGCUGCUUUUGCAUCUGAGACUGCAUUUGAUCUUGUAUGUCCUUUUGCAUUUGCUUCAAUUUCUCGAGUCUCUUAUCUAUUGAUUCUUUUCUUGUACCGUAGGGGUGCGUGGUUGGUUGGUUUUCGUUGGUUUCCAGGUUACUGAAAUAACUUUUAAUUAAUUAAUUAGAAAACUCUUAUGGCCUUUAAUGCAUAAUGAUGUGAUGUAAUGCAAAUGCAUGAAUGCAAAUGAGGCAUCAAUUUCGAUUCAACUGCCCUUAGAAAAUUUCACUUGAAAAUAAAAUCUUUUACAAAAAGUCGAGUUACAAAUAAAAUUUUGCUCUAACACUUAGAGUCUUAAUUUUUCUAAGCAACGAGGCCAGCUCUUGUCCGCGCUCUGACUCCAACUCAUACUUCACGCUCAUUGUGUCCGCCUAAACCGCUAAAGUUUACAAAUAAUCUGCUACCUCCCGGAUUUGGGUUAUGGCUUCCCCCAUGAGGUAAUCUCUAUUUCUGACUUGGUCUUGCGCAUGGCGAAGCUGUUCUUUCCAACGAUCCUCGUUUGCUUCGAAAAACUGGAUCCGCAUUUCGCAGUUUUGCAAUGACGCCUCUAACUCUUCUAUUCUUCCUUUCAUUUCUUCUAUCUUGCUCAAGCUUGCCCUCAAUUCCAUUGCGGUGUUGCGGUUUCAGAAUUGAUACAGAGACUUCUCGAGUUCUGCCACUCUAGCCCUUAAUUUCCCUCGCUCAUUUCUGCUUUCCGAUAGACUCCUCUCCAAUUCUUCGUUUCGUGCCUGAGUUUCUUGGAAUUUUCUUUCCCACCGGUCGGUAUUGGCAUUUUCUUCCCGAAUUUCAUGGCGCCAUUGUUCGAAAGUCUUACCUAAACCCGCAGUCCUCAUGGAUAGGCGUAACUUCUUGUAGUCUGUCUUCAAGCUGUCUAGAUCUUCUUCGGCCUUAGUUUUUCCUUUUCUUCACUUCUCAGCCUCUGAUCUUUGAACAUCGACGUCUAAUCUUAGGUGCAUCUUCUCUUCCUCCAAUUGUUCGAUCUUCUUCCCAAACUCUAAACUUUUCUUCUCGAAAUCUUGCCUUAUAAUUUCCAAUUCUGAUGGGGCGACUUACAAUUGUUCCCCGAUAGGUCUAGCAUUCUCUAAGUUUGGCCUAGGAAUAUUAUCAUUAAUCCUUUUCUUAAACCACUCGUUAUACUCGGGCGUUACCAUGGAACCGACGGCUAACCUCUUCAUCCAACAAGUUUGCUUCCAAGCAUCCGAUAACUUCCGAACUCUCUUCUUAUAGUGAGCACCUUUAAACGAGAAUUCACUCUGAGCAAGUCCGUAGAUCGUGGGUACAAAUUGCCUCGACUUGUAUUGCCUCAAGGCUAUCAACAGAGUAUACCCGAUAGCUCCUCAGAUUCCUAACAGUGGCACCCAAUCGAAGUUACCACAUCGGUACAUGAUCUUGUCAGGGACCAUCCAAUAAGCUCUCCACUCGAUAUCCCCAUCCUUGAGGUGUUGAAGAAUAUCCAUCCACUUCUCCUCCGAGAUAUCCUCUCUCCUCUGUAUAGCUGCCUCUUCUUUCAAAGGGGAAUAACCUUCGGAAAAGACUCGAUAGGAAACCUUGUCUACCUUCCAAAAGUGCCCAUGAAACCAUACCAUCAAUAAUUGAGCACAUCCAAUAAACCGCCCCUCACCUGUCUUCCGACAUGAGCUCAAAGACCUGAACGUUUCUGCCAAUAUUACCGGUACCGGUGUGAUUCCCUUUUCAAGGCGAUCAAAUAAGUCGAUGACCGCCUCGUCCACGUGCCUCAAAGCCUUAGGAAAGAUCACUAAUCCGUAGAUGCUUAAGGCAAAUAUAUCGACCCUCUUUCUUUCGUCUGGAUGGGUCAAGAUCAAAUCUCACAAAUUCUCCCAAGGGAUACAUUUGCUAUCUCCUUUUUGCUGAAUCCGAGCAGUGACCCAAGGCUCGCUCAUCCCAGAAAUGCCCAUCAGUUUCUUCACGAAAGCCUGAUUACUAAAAACCCGGACAUAAGUCUUUCGGACCUGAAUCUUUGGACACCUAAGUAGCGUAGUGUAUUCCUCCAUGGUAGGUACCAAAUCCACUUCUCCAAAAGUGAAACACUUGUACGCAGAAUUCCAAAACUACACCAAGGCUCAGAACAAAUGCUUAUCCACUCUAAUGUCUAGCAAGUAAGAUAUGUCACCAUAGUUUUGGUAAAACAACUGCUUGAUCCCUUCAUCCCAACUAGCCCAAAUGUCUCUCAACUCUUGCAGCUCAUUCUAUACUACAUUGACGCGAGUGAAAUCUUGCAGCUCCGACACAUACCCUUCUGCCAAGCUAUCCCCUCUCUCAGAUUGUAGCCUCUCUGACCAAGCACGAACGGCCGCAUUAUCCUCGAAUUUACUAAGAAAUUCAUUCUCCAUGUCAAAUUUUCUAACUUAGUAAUUGAAUGUGGAUUAACGCCUCCUUUAGUAUGCAAUAUCAUGCAAAAAAGACAAUCAAAACAAAACAUCGGUUAGUAUCAAAUAAUAGCGAUAGAAUGCAAGCACAUAAAUGAUGAUUAUAACGCAUAUACGGGUAAGUACUAAGGCUCGACGCAGCUCCACCCAAGGAUAGCUCCUAAGGUUCACUAUAUGUGGUUUAGUUCUAGGGAUAAGUACCCGAAUCAGCUGAUUCCUCAAUCCUCACCCAUUAUAGGCUCAUAUAGAUCGAGUUCGGUUCGGGGGGAUACAUUUCCCUAUGACCAUACGGAGAUGAAAAUCUCACGAAAUCAUAGGUACGGAUGUACCCCGGAAGCAAUCCACUAGCCCAUGCGGAGGUGAAAACCUCACGAAAGCGUAGUUUCUUACUCCCACUUAGAAGGUGUGACCACAGUGGUCAUGCAAUGAAAUGCAGUGCUAUUCUACAAGACUUGCACCAAAACAAACAUACAAUCAAAUGCAAUUGAAAAAUACAUGAUUUUUAAAAUAAAUUUUGGUCUUUUAACAAAAGGAUAGUAAAUAAUCGAUUUUUAUGGCUUGACUCUCAAGUUCAGUCCCCAGCGGAGUCGCCAAGCUGUCGAAACCAUCCAUCGAUUUAAAGAUUUUAAAUUUAAAAAAGGGGGAAAUCGACUUUUGAAAAAUAAAUACUUGGAGUCGCCACCAAUCCUUUUGUUUUGGUGUGAUCGGGUUACCUAAGAAUUUAGUUAUUUUAAUAAAAUGCUUUUUGAUUCACUAAAACAACGAUUUUGAUAUACGAGAAUAUGAGAAAACGGGCUCGGGAGUUGGUUACGUAUGAGGAAGGAUUAGCACCCUCAUUACGCCCAAAAUUGGUACCAAAUCGAUUAAAUACUGUCCUUAUGUCUAAAAUUAAAAUGUUUUUGAAAUAUGAUUCUCGUUUAUAACGUUUAAAUAACUCGAGUGGGUUACCAAAAUCUUCUUGACGUUUAUAAUUCGAAAUUUACAAAAGGAUGCCCAACUAUUUGGUCUAACGAAAAACCGAAACCCAGCACAGUAAGGUAUGAUUCCUUAAAUUUCUGAACAUCGAACAUUACCUCACCUUAGAAAAUACGAGUGAAAUUCAGAAAGGAUCUUCGAUUGUUUUGAGCAAAAGAGAAAGCGCAACCCAGCACGAUAGGGCUUGAUUCUCAAAUCGCCAAACAUCGAAUAUCGCUUUCGUUUUGCAAGGUUUUUAAUAAACAUGAAUGAAAACCUAAAGGAAUAUUUGAUUGUUUUGAACAACAAGAAAUCACAAGCCAGCACCAUAGGACAUGAUUCCCGAAUUAUCAAACACCGAGUAUUGCCUUCGUUUUAAAGGAUAUUUAGAAGACACGAGUAAAGCUUUAAAGGGAUAUUCGAUUAUUUUGAGCAAACACGAAAUUGCAACCCAACACGUUAGGGUACGAUUCCGCGAAUUGCGAAAUAUCAAAUCUCUUCUUCGUUUUUUAAAAGAUUUUUAGAGAAUUGUGAAACUAGCUUAAAAUGCAUUGGUUUGAUUUGAAAUAAGAUGACAUUGAUCACGAAAUUUGGUUUUUAUAAAACCACAUUUCAAAAAUCAAGUGGAAAACGAUGAAUGGGGUAAUAUGUGUAUGCAUAAAAAUACGACAAUGAAAAGAAAUGAAGAUAAUACAAUCAACUACAAGAACUUAAACGAAUAAGCAUAACUAGUUUGGAAAUAUAACUCAAUUUCAACCAUGCAUGGAGAAUAAUGACAAUGUAAAACAAUGAAUAAGUAAUAUGCAACGAUAACAUGCAUAGCAUAAUAUAAUAUGACUACCACUAGAUACACAAAAUAAAAUGCAAAUCGAAGGAGUGAUAUGGUAUAAACUAUUUUAAACAACAAUGAAUGAAUGAACACAUAAAAUGUAGAUUGACAAAUUUGUAUUAAAAAACUAGAGAUAGAUGUAUGAUUUUUGAAAUAGAUAUUAUAGAAUGAAAGUUUGAGUUAAAUUGUAUAUAAAACAUUUUAUACGCGAAUUCAUUUAAAAGUUAACAAAAUACAUGAUAAUUUAAAUAAUAUACAAUACAAAAGAAUAAUAAGGAUAUAAGAUGAGAUAUAACACACAAAAUAGUUUUAUAAAACAUAUAUACAUGUAAGUUUAUUGUAGAAAGAUCAUGAAAUUAAUAAUAAUAUAAAUUUUAAAUUAGUCUAAAACAAAUGUACACAUGCCUUUAUACCAAAACAUUUAAAUAAUAGGCCACAUAAAACACAAAAGUAAUAUAAUAUAAAAGAAUAUUCAAAAAUAAUAAUUAAUGAUUACAAAAAUGAAGUUUCUAAAAUUAAUUCAUAUAUGUAUAUUGAAAAUACUUGAUAAAUUACAAAGUAGAUUGUGUUUUAACAUAAGCAAAUCUAUUAAAAUAAUAAGUGAAUUAAUAUAUAUAUAAAUUUAAAAGCAAAUACAUGCAAAAUAACAUUUAAAUAAUAUGUAUAGGGCUAAGUGAAUCUUAUUAAAAGCUACAUAGUAGAUUUAAGGACAUACUUGUAUAUACAAGAAAGCUAUAUGUAUAAAAUGUAUAGAUUUAGAAGUAUAUGCGGAUUAAACAUAGGCAACAAUAAACAUAUAUGCUCACAUGAUAAUAAUUCAAAAUAUAUAUUAUAUAAUAGAAUAUAAGAACAAAUUUAAAAGGAAAUAUAAGUAUAAAAUAAUAUGAGAUUAAUAGUAUGCAUAAAAUAAAACUAACUUUAUUAUAUGGCACAUAUAUGUAUACAUAUAUAAUGGUAAUAUAUAUACAAGGAUAUUUACAAAGCAUCAGGCAAAAAUAUUGUAAUAGCAUGGCAUAAAAAACAAACAACAUAAUAGCGAUUAAAAAGAAACACAAGAAAAGCAUUAAAAUAAUAUACAAUGUAAAACAAGAAUGAUAAUGUCGAAAGUGCCUUUGAAACAAAAAUGAAUCAUAAAGUAAAAAAUAGUAAAAAAAAUAGAAGGGAUUUAAUUAAAAUUAAACCAAAACACAAAGGGGUGACUUGAAAAUAAAUCAUUAAUGAUAGAAGGGUCAAAAGGUAAAGUGAGCAAUUGCACAGGGGCUCAAACUAGAAAUAUUCCAGGCUCCCAAAGCGCAGCACACCAGCGCAGACUAAAAUGAAAACACGCGCGAAUUAAUGGGCCAAUUUAAAAGAAUCGAAGCGGAAUAGAUAGGGCGCGAUUGAAUGCGCACGUGAAAGAGGACCAAGCCUGCAAAUAUCCCAUUUGCAGUGAGAAGGCACGGGUCUGGGUCCUGGAGCGGGUUGAUGCGUAGACCCUUCCCCUUCGGAACAGCGCCGUUUUGCUGCAUGCUUAAAACCUCAAGCAAAUGAAUGGCAUUUUACCAUUUCUCCAAGCUGCAGAUCGAAUACCCAAUUGUUAGGGUUUCGGCGCAGCAACCUUCAUUUACCCAGGGCCAUUCGGUCGUCAGUUCACCAUCAAAAUUGGUGAGUGACUCAGAAGCCUCUUUGUUCCCAUCAGAAUCGACGCUUAAAAAAACCUUUUCCUUUUGCAUCUCUAACCCUGACUUCGAUGGAGAAGACGAGGUCAUUGAUGCGUCCGCGAAGGUAAGUUUCUCGCUCCUCUUUCUUCCCCGUUUUUUUUUUAAAAGUUCUAAAGAAGGCAGGACAUAUGCGAAAAAAAUAUUGAAGACGAAGAAGAUUCAAAAAUCACCUUCUUUGCUUUGUAUUGUUUUUGUAUUCUCUUUUUCGUAUUUGUUUUUGUUGCCUUUGUCCGUAACCAUUACAAAGAUUGAAUUGUUGGCUUUAUAGCCGGAAAGAAAAGAAAAUAAAAAGGAAAUAAAAAUAAGAAAUACAAUUUUUUGUU
rnacentral:lncRNA from 1 species